rnacentral:tRNA from 1 species
GGUUGCAUAGUGUAGUGGUCAGCACGCCAGACUUUGAAUCUGGAGACCCGAGUUCAAACCUCGGUGUGACCU